rnacentral:rRNA from 1 species
AUUGAACGCUGGCGGCAGGCCUAACACAUGCAAGUCGAGCGAGCGGCGGACGGGUGAGUAAUGUAUGGGGACUGCCCGAUAGAGGGGGAUAACUACUGGAAACGGUGGCUAAUACCGCAUACUAUCGGAUAACCCAUAUGGGAUUGGCUAGUAGGUGGGGUAAAUGCUCAACUAGGCGACGAUCUGUAGCUGGUCUGAGAGGAUGAUCAGCCACACUGGGAUUCAGACACGGCCCAGAAUCCAAGGGAGGAAGCAGGGGGGAAUAUUGUACAAUGGGCGCAAGCCUGAUGCAGCCAUGCCGCGUGUAUGAAGAAGGCCUUAGGGUUGUAAAGUACUUUCAGCGGGGAGGCGUUACCCGCAGAAGAAGCACCGGCUAACUCCGUGACAGCAGCCGCGGUAAUAC